rnacentral:rRNA from 1 species
UACGUAGGGUGCGAGCGUUGUCCGGAAUUACUGGGCGUAAAGAGCUCGUAGGUGGUUUGUCGCGUUGUUCGUGAAAACUCACAACUCAAUUGUGGGCGUGCGGGCGAUACGGGCAGACUGGAGUACUGCAGGGGAGACUGGAAUUCCUGGUGUAGCGGUGGAAUGCGCAGAUAUCAGGAGGAACACCGGUGGCGAAGGCGGGUCUCGUGGGCAGUGAACUGACGCUGAGGAGCGAAAGCGUGGGGAGCGAACAGG